CAGGCGCUCAGCGGGGCGAGACGUUCCCGGCGAAGUCCAGCAGGGGACGCUGCCGGCGGCGGCGGCGGGAGCGAGACCGGAAGCCGGGCCGGAGGCGGACGGGCGCACUCGUUGACUCUUCCGCUUCCGCUGCUGCAGCGGGUCCGACCCGAGAGUCCUGGUCCGCUGAGCCGUCGCUUCACUGCUGUCUCGCCGCCGCAAUGCCGCUGGAGAACCUGGAGGAGGAGGGUCUGCCCAAGAACCCAGACCUGCGCAUCGCGCAGCUGCGCUUCCUGCUUAGCCUGCCGGAGCACCGCGGGGACGCGGCCGUGCGCGACGAGCUGAUGGCGGCCGUCCGCGACAACAACAUGGCUCCUUACUACGAAGGCCUGUGCAAAUCCCUGGACUGGCAGAUGGACAUGGACCUUCUCAAUAAAAUGAAGAAGGCAAAUGAAGAAGAGCUGAAACGUUUAGAUGAGGAGCUGGAAGAUGCCGAGAAAAAUCUAGGAGAGAGUGAAAUUCGUGAUGCAAUGAUGGCAAAGGCCGAGUACCUCUGCCGGAUAGGUGACAAGGAAGGAGCUCUGACAGCUUUUCGCAAGACAUAUGACAAAACUGUGGCCCUGGGUCACAGGUUGGAUAUUGUAUUUUAUCUCCUUAGGAUUGGCUUAUUUUAUAUGGAUAAUGAUCUUAUCACACGAAACACAGAAAAAGCCAAAAGCCUAAUAGAAGAAGGAGGAGACUGGGACAGGAGAAACCGCCUAAAAGUGUAUCAGGGUCUUUACUGUGUGGCUAUUCGUGAUUUCAAACAGGCAGCUGAACUCUUUCUUGACACUGUUUCAACAUUUACUUCCUAUGAACUCAUGGAUUAUAAAACAUUUGUAACUUAUACUGUCUAUGUCAGCAUGAUUGCCUUAGAAAGACCAGAUCUCAGGGAAAAGGUCAUUAAAGGAGCAGAGAUUCUUGAAGUGUUGCACAGUCUUCCAGCAGUUCGGCAGUAUCUAUUUUCCCUCUAUGAAUGCCGAUACUCAGUUUUCUUUCAGUCAUUAGCGAUUGUGGAACAGGAAAUGAAAAAGGACUGGCUUUUUGCCCCUCAUUAUCGAUACUAUGUAAGAGAAAUGAGAAUUCAUGCAUACAGCCAGCUACUGGAAUCGUAUAGGUCAUUAACCCUUGGCUAUAUGGCAGAAGCGUUUGGUGUUGGUGUGGAGUUCAUCGAUCAGUAAGGAACUCUCCAGAUUUAUUGCUGCUGGGAGACUACACUGCAAAAUAGAUAAAGUAAACGAAAUAGUAGAAACCAACAGACCUGAUAGCAAGAACUGGCAGUACCAAGAAACUAUCAAGAAAGGAGAUCUGCUACUAAACAGAGUUCAAAAGCUUUCCAGAGUAAUUAAUAUGUAAAGCCAUGUAACAAAGGAUUUCCUUUAGAGAUAAUUAUUGGGAAUUUUUAUAGCUUACUUCACUAUGUGCUCACUUCAGCUGUAUAAAAUAAAUAUUGCAUUGUUGUUUCUUCCAA